rnacentral:sRNA from 1 species
UACCUAAGGUCUACUCAAAAUAGAUACGGUACAAAUAAACCCCAUCCCUGAUACUGAACCCCGUGUUCAGCUACUCAGGGAUGGGUCAUUGUCGGGAAACUGAUAAUGGAGUCGCAAGGCUC